rnacentral:tRNA from 1 species
GGGCGAGUGGUGAAAUUGGCAAACACGCUAGACUUAGGAUCUAGUGCUCCGGCUUGUGGGUUCAAGUCCCACCUCGCCCACCA